AAUCCAUCAACUGCCCCAGGCUUUUGUGGCCUGUUGGUGAAGUUGGACUUGGAGGCAUGCUGGCGCAUGAAUGGGCUUUGUGCCCUGCUGUGCUUGUUGGCUCCUCUUGAAUGCAUGAGCUUUCCAAUCCUUGGCAAAGUAUCGUCGAUGUGAUAAUUAUCUGCGUCGUCUGAGAAAGCCUAAAAGGGGAAAUCUUUGAUCACGUUGGGUUGACCCACGUCUGACAA
rnacentral:misc_RNA from 1 species